rnacentral:rRNA from 1 species
GAUGAACGCUAGCUACAGGCUUAACACAUGCAAGUCGCGGGGCAGCAUGGGGGUUGCUUGCAAUCCCCGAUGGCGACCGGCGCACGGGUGAGUAACGCGUAUCCAACCUGCCCUUCACCACGGGAUAACCCGGCGAAAGUCGGACUAAUACCGUAUGUUGUCCAUUGACGGCAUCCGAUUUGGACGAAAGGCUUGGCGGUGAGGGAUGGGGAUGCGUCCGAUUAGCCAGACGGCGGGGUAACGGCCCACCGUGGCUACGAUCGGUAGGGGUUCUGAGAGGAAGGUCCCCCACACUGGAACUGAGACACGGUCCAGACUCCUACGGGAGGCAGCAGUGAGGAAUAUUAGUCAAUGGGCGUAAGCCUGAACCAGCCAAGUAGCGUGCAGGAUGACGGCCCUAUGGGUUGUAAACUGCUUUUAUGCGGGGAUAAAGUGGCCCACGUGUGGGCUUUUGCAGGUACCGCAUGAAUAAGGACCGGCUAAUUCCGUG